CCCUGCCUCCCCAUGAGGUGUUCAAUCACUAGUUUAGGCCAUGACUUAGCAUUUCCACUACAGUGAAACUGGUCAAAAACCAGGCCCAGUGCUGCCUAUGACCAGAAAUCACACCCAAGAAAGUGAUGCUUGCUGCCUACACUGUCCCAACCUUCACGCUGUUAGAAACGCUCUCCAAGGCUUUCAGGAGCUACAUGGUUGCAGAGCAGCUGUUUUUCUGAUGGUGUUCGUACCAUAACUUGCCCAGAGCUGGAAAAUAGACCUCUUCUAAAAACUCCAAAUGGCUUUUACAGAUCUCUAACCUUCUACGAAGUUUUGCACUAUCCCAAAUUUCUAAUGUUUACAUGAGCAACAUGGUGAGUUUAUUGGCCAAUACUGACAGAAUGCAGUGGGGUUUCACUCUGUGAACUCUGUUUAGUGGGAGAAUGACACUGUCAGACCCCUAAGAUACACUUCCAAUACUGCGAAACUUCUUCAGUAUCUCUACAUCUUUGCAAAUCAACUUCAUACCGAUAUUCCUCUUCAUUAUGUUUUCCUCUCCACUCACUCAGCAACAACAUAAAACAUCCCAUACCUUUGCAUACAUUGCUUACUCAGAGCCUGAAUUUUGUGUAAGCAGUGUACACAUACUGUGCUUCCUUUGCCUACUUUUCUUUGUGAUGGAAGAUUUUCUACACAGGCAUUCAGUAUCUCAACCAUUCACCAUUCAUAAUUUUCAGAUCCCUUGUAAUAUGUAAAUAAAAUUGCAGGAUUGCUCCCAUAAACACAGUAGGAAAGAUGGUUUAAAGUAACUGAAGGUCUAAGCUGAGUAAUCCUCACUUGUACAGAUAGCUGCACCAUCUGAAAUUUUGAAGGUUCUAAGACAGUGUUGAGUAUUUCCAAAGUAGAUCUGGUACUUUCUGCAAAAUUGAACUCACAGCAAAAAAUGCAUUGCCAAAAAUGCCUUGAAUUAAUCUAAAAUAAAUAGUGGCACCAAAAAAUUGUCACAGAGGCCAGUGAAACUUGAAGUUUGAGCUCAUUUCUGCCCAGUAAUAAGCAAAGCUGAUCAACCCCAAAUAUUAAACUCAUGAGUAACAGUCCAUGUUAAGAACUAAUGAUGUCAUGUCAGUAUAUGUUGCAGCACUUAUUUCAUAUUUAGUAAUUGUACAGAGACCAAUGACAGUUGCCUGAACUUUGUAGUUCAGUAUUCUCCACCUCCAGCAAUUUCAGGCGGCUUAAAGCAGACCUUAUAAAGGAAGAUUAAAAACUCAAGAUUACUGCAUCAAAUAAGUCUAGUGUAGUAGUAAUAAUCAAGAUUGUACUGCACAACUGCAAAAUAAUGUAAAAUAAAGCUUCAUCUCAGCCUUAAAAAUUGUAUUUUAAAUUAUGAGACCUGAUCCGAAAAUAAUGCCUCCUAUUUAAUUAUGUUGUCCCACAACAACAGAUGCGGGUGUUGGUGGUACAGCACUAGAGGCUGAACCUUCCCAGCAAUAUUCCAUUACAUUUGGUCCUGGCUGCAGACCCAGUGCCAGUGCUGGUCUGGCUGCUGGCUGAGCCCUGGCUUCUUCCAGCUUGCAGGUGAGCCAUGCCCUCAUCUCCCAGCUCCCACUCAGCCUCUCCUUUCCACAAGCCCAGCACAGCUCCCCAUGGCCUCACCCCGACCCCAUCUCCUCUACAGCUGUGACAGCAGAGCCUCCUCAAGUCUUGAGCACAGCAGGCACAGGGCAGUCCUGCACGCAGA